rnacentral:rRNA from 1 species
AUUGAACGCUGGCGGCAGGCUUAACACAUGCAAGUCGAGCGGGGUGAUGGUGCUUGCACUAUCACUUAGCGGCGGACGGGUGAGUAAUGCUUAGGAAUCUGCCUAUUAGUGGGGGACAACAUCUCGAAAGGGAUGCUAAUACCGCAUACGUCCUACGGGAGAAAGCAGGGGAUCACUUGUGACCUUGCGCUAAUAGAUGAGCCUAAGUCGGAUUAGCUAGUUGGUGGGGUAAAGGCCUACCAAGGCGACGAUCUGUAGCGGGUCUGAGAGGAUGAUCCGCCACACUGGGACUGAGACACGGCCCAGACUCCUACGGGAGGCAGCAGUGGGGAAUAUUGGACAAUGGGGGGAACCCUGAUCCAGCCAUGCCGCGUGUGUGAAGAAGGCCUUAUGGUUGUAAAGCACUUUAAGCGAGGAGGAGGCUCUUUUGGUUAAUACCCAAGAUGAGUGGACGUUACUCGCAGAAUAAGCCCCGGCUAACUUCGUGCCAGCAGCCGCCGCGG